rnacentral:rRNA from 1 species
GACGAACGCUGGCGGCGUGCUUAACACAUGCAAGUCGAACGGAAAGGCCCUGCUUUUGUGGGGUGCUCGAGUGGCGAACGGGUGAGUAACACGUGAGUAACCUGCCCUUGACUUUGGGAUAACUUCAGGAAACUGGGGCUAAUACCGGAUAGGAGCUCCUGCUGCAUGGUGGGGGUUGGAAAGUUUCGGCGGUUGGGGAUGGACUCGCGGCUUAUCAGCUUGUUGGUGGGGUAGUGGCUUACCAAGGCUUUGACGGGUAGCCGGCCUGAGAGGGUGACCGGCCACAUUGGGCCUGAGAUACGGCCCAGACGCCUACGGGAGGCAGCAGUGGAGAAUAUUGCACAAUGGGCGGAAGCCUGAUGCAGCAACGCCGCGUGCGGGAUGACGGCCUUCGGGUUGUAAACCGCUUUCGCCUGUGACGAAGCGUGAGUGACGGUAAUGGGUAAAGAAGCACCGGCUAACUACGU